AGGGUUUGAUCAUGGCUCAGGGCGAACGCUGGCGGCACGCCUCAUACAUGCAAGUCGAGCGAUCGGUAGCUGGGUGCUUGCACCCGGCUACACGGAGCGGCGAACGGGUGAGUAACACGUGGGCAAUCUGCCUCGAGGACGGGGAUAACGGCGGGAAACUGCCGCUAAUACCCGAUAACCCCAAUGGAUCGCAUGAUCCGCUGGGUAAAUGGUUCUUCCGCCUCGAGAGGAGCCCGCGGCCUAUCAGCUUGUUGGUGGGGUAACGGCCUACCAAGGCUAUGACGGGUAGCCGGCCUGAGAGGGUGUUCGGCCACACCGGGACUGAGACACGGCCCGGACUCCUACGGGAGGCAGCAGUAGGGAAUCUUGCACAAUGGGCGCAAGCCUGAUGCAGCGAUGCCGCGUGAGGGAUGAAGGCCUUCGGGUUGUAAACCUCUUUCGCUAGGGAAGAAGCCACGGGUCACCGUGGUGACGGUACCUAGAGAAGAAGCCCCGGCUAACUACGUGCCAGCAGCCGCGGUAAAACGUAGGGGGCAAGCGUUGCCCGGAUUCACUGGGCGUAAAGCGGGUGUAGGCGGUCCUCUAAGUCGGAUGUGAAAUCCUGCGGCUCAACCGCGGAACUGCAUCCGAUACUGGAGGACUUGAGGACGGUAGAGGUCGGUGGAAUUCCCGGUGUACCGGUGAAAUGGGCAGAUAUCGGGAGGAACACCAGUGGCGAAGGCGGCCGACUGGGCUGAUCCUGACGCUGAGACCCGAAAGCCAGGGUAGCGAACCGGAUUAGAUACCCGGGUAGUCCUGGCCGUAAACGGUGCGAACUAGGUGUGGGGACCUUUUUGGUCUCCGUGCCGAAGCUAACGCAUUAAGUUCGCCGCCUGGGGAGUACGGCCG
rnacentral:rRNA from 1 species